UGGGGAAUAUUGCACAAUGGGGGGAACCCUGAUGCAGCGACGCCGCGUGGGUGAAGAAGUAUUUCGGUAUGUAAAGCCCUAUCAGCAGAGAAGAAGACGACGGUAUCUGACUAAGAAGCCCCGGCUAACUACGUGCCAGCAGCCGCGGUAAUACGUAGGGGGCAAGCGUUAUCCGGAUUUACUGGGUGUAAAGGGAGCGUAGACGGCAUUGCAAGUCUGGAGUGAAAGCCCGGGGCCCAACCCCGGGACUGCUCUGGAAACUGUAGGGCUGGAGUGCGGGAGGGGCAGGCGGAAUUCCUGGUGUAGCGGUGAAAUGCGUAGAUAUCAGGAGGAACACCGGCGGCGAAGGCGGCCUGCUGGACCGUGACUGACGUUGAGGCUCGAAAGCGUGGGGAGCAAACAGG
rnacentral:rRNA from 1 species